CCCGCCGGCGACCGGCGCACGGGUGAGUAACACGUAUGAAACCUGCCCGUAGCAGGGGGAUAAGCGGAAGAAAUUCCGUCUAAUACCACGUAACAACCCGAGGAGGCAUCUCCUCGGGUUUAAAGGAAGCGAUUCCGGCUACGGAUGGUCAUGCGUCGCAUUAGCUAGUUGGCGGGGUAACGGCCCACCAAGGCGACGAUGCGUAGGGGUUCUGAGAGGAAGGUCCCCCACACUGGUACUGAGACACGGACCAGACUCCUACGGAAGGCAGCAG
rnacentral:rRNA from 1 species